rnacentral:rRNA from 1 species
UGGGGAAUAUUGCACAAUGGAGGGAACUCUGAUGCAGCGACGCCGCGUGAACGAAGAAGGCUUUCGAGUCGUAAAGUUCUUUUAUAUGGGAAGAUAAUGACGGUACCAUAAGAAAAAGCCCCGGCUAACUACGUGCCAGCAGCCGCGGUAAUACGUAGGGGGCUAGCGUUGUCCGGAAUCACUGGGCGUAAAGGGUUGGCAGGCGGAAAUGCAAGUCAGGUGUAAAAGGCAGUAGCUUAACUACUGUAAGCAUUUGAAACUGCAUAUCUUGAGAAGAGUAGAGGUAAGUGGAAUUUUUAGUGUAGCGGUGAAAUGCGUAGAUAUUAAAAAGAAUACCGGUGGCGAGGGCGACUUACUGGGCUCAUUCUGACGCUGAGGAACGAAAGCGUGGGUAGCAAACAGG